rnacentral:rRNA from 1 species
GACGAACGCUGGCGGCGUGCCUAAUACAUGCAAGUCGAACGCUGAAGAGAGGAGCUUGCUCUUCUUGGAUGAGUUGCGAACGGGUGAGUAACGCGUAGGUAACCUGCCUGGUAGCGGGGGAUAACUAUUGGAAACGAUAGCUAAUACCGCAUAAAAUUGAUUAUUGCAUGAUAAUUAAUUGAAAGAUGCAACUGCAUCACUACCAGAUGGACCUGCGUUGUAUUAGCUAGUUGGUGAGGUAACGGCUCACCAAGGCGACGAUACAUAGCCGACCUGAGAGGGUGAUCGGCCACACUGGGACUGAGACACGGCCCAGACUCCUACGGGAGGCAGCAGGAGGGGAACUUCGGCAAUGGGGGGAACCCUGACCGAGCAACGCCGCGUGAGGGAAGAAGGGUUUCGGAUCGUAAAGCUCUGUUGUAAGGGAAGAACGGGUGUGAGAGUGGAAAGUUCACACUGUGACGGUAUCUUACCAGAAAGGGACGGCUAACUACGUG